AUGUUACAGGGCACUCAGUGCACAAUACAUUACACAAAACAUUUUAAAAUUUAACAAUUUCAAAGGAAGGAAAACAUAAAAAAGCAGACGAUUAUACUAGAUUUUCACAGGUAUUGUAUUUGGACCCCAACAGUCACCGAAUUGUUGAGAGUCCUGUUUUGAAGUAUAAACCCUGCCUCCUUCACUCUACUCCAUAUUGGGAAACCAUAACUAAAAGGACUGUGAACAUUUGGCAAGUAGGCGGUUUUUAGAACUUUCAUCGAUCACUGAAUCUUUUCAAACAACACACAAUUUUAUAUGUUGUCUACAGUCCAUGUGAAUUCGUAUA